AACUAACGCUGGCGGCGUGCCUAACACAUGCAAGUCGUACGAGAAAGCCGGCUUCGGCUGGUGAGUAAAGUGGCGCACGGGUGAGUAACGCGUGGAUAAUCUGCCCUUAAGUGUGGAAUAACGUACCGAAAGGUGCGCUAAUACCGCAUAAUGCCUGGCAACACAAGUUGUCCGGCCAAAGAAGGCCUCUGUUUACAAGCUUUCGCUUCAGGAUGAGUCCGCGUACCAUUAGCUUGUUGGUGGGGUAAUGGCCUACCAAGGCUGCGAUGGUUAGCUGGUCUGAGAGGAUGAUCAGCCACACUGGAACUGAGACACGGUCCAGACUCCUACGGGAGGUAGCAGUGAGGAAUAUUGCGCAAUGGGGGCAACCCUGACGCAGCAACGCCGCGUGAGUGAGGAAGGUUUUCGGACCGUAAAGCUCUGUCGAGUGGGAAGAAGUGUAUCAUGGCUAAUAUCCGUGAUAUUUGACGGUACCGCUAGAGGAAGCACC
rnacentral:rRNA from 1 species